rnacentral:rRNA from 1 species
UACGGAGGGUGCGAGCGUUGUCCGGAAUCAUUGGGCGUAAAGGGCGCGUAGGUGGCCCGGUCAGUUCGUGGUGAAAGCGCGGGGCUCAACCCCGCGUCGGCCAUGGAUACUGCUGGGCUCGAGCACUGUAGAGGCAGGCGGAAUUCCGGGUGUAGCGGUGGAAUGCGUAGAGAUCCGGAAGAACACCGGUGGCGAAGGCGGCCUGCUGGGCAGUAGCUGACACUGAGGCGCGACAGCGUGGGGAGCAAACAGG